GGAAGCUUUUCUGAUGCACUAUGACGUAGCGCAUAGAGUGUUGCAAUUCUUUCUUUAGUCAGCAACGGCAUUUUGCGAUUGUAUGUGCAGGAGCCCGAGUACGGCCCCGGCCACCCAAAGACCUCAACCCAAAAGGGACCCCCACGUAGCCAGGCCAGCUAGCGACAGGAACCCCAGAGCUGGGUCCACUGUGCUGCCUGGAAGGGCCAGCAGCAUGCAAUUGACGGACGCACCAGGCAAAAGACAAAGCACGGGAGAAGCAGGGGACAGCCAGCCCCCAAGCCAGCAAGAGACUACACCCCCAAUUCUUCAUUUAAUAUAAAAGGCUUCAAAUGUGGACACUUCAUGACAUUAGUUUUUGUGCUAUUUAAAAUGCUUAAGUUUUUGAUUUAAUUAAAAUUUUUAAUGGUUUGUCUCUGUCUUUAAAGGUUUACAUCCUAUUGGAAUGAAGUCACCAACUAACUAAAAGAAAAAGAAAAGUUUCUGAAUUUGAACUUGAAUUGAGUUGUCCUUGUGUUCUUUGGAGGAAGAAAGAGAUGGGCUGCAACAACGUCGUGGAGACAAUCCUGUCUCGAGGGUCUACAAACAAUCCCUUCAACUUCAUGCUUAGUUUGUGCUCUGCCAUGGACUUUCAAGUGUGGGACCUUAUUUAAAGACAAUUGUGACCCUUUCCAAAUAAUUUCCGAUCAACUGAAUUUACCACAGGCGGACUCCAAUUAAGCUGUAGGAAAAUCUCAAGGAUGAUUAGUUGACACAGGAUGCCCCUGAGCUCACUUUUGCGCUUUAUGGCAAAUGUCGUGAUUACUUAUGUACAUGUGAUUUCUUAGUUUUUUAUUUUUAAUAAAUGUUUAAUACAUUUCUCUAAAACUGUUUUACCUUGUCAACAUUAUGGGCUAUCGUGUGUAGAAUUUUGAAGGCAAAAAUGAAUUAAUUCCAUUUGCAAACAGCUCACAUUAUGUAAAAAGCUAAUUAUAAACUGCUACCUAAGAACGUAUGAUUCCUUUCAACAAAAGAGAAAAACAUAAAAACUUAGAGAAAACAUUUACUUAGUCCGCCUACAGGAGAGAGGUGGACCGGCUGGCGUCCUGGUGCAGCCUCAACAACCUGGAGCUGAACGCCCAGAAAACAGUGUAGAUGAUCAUGUACUUCAGGAAAGUCACAGCCCCACCAUCCGCCCUCACCCUGAUUGACUCUCCCACCCCUAUCUCCAUUGUGGACUCCUUCCGUUUCUUGGGCACUACCAUUACCCAGGACCUCAAGUGAGAGCCGACCAUCAGCUCCCUCAUCAAGAAGGCCCAGCAAAGGAUGUACUUCCUGCGGCAGCUGAGCAAACUUAAGGUGCCGACCAAGAUGCUGGUGCAGUUUUAUGUAGCCAUCAGCGAGUCCAUCCUCACCUCCUCCAUCACCGUUUGGUCCCCCAGCGCCACAGUCCAGGACAAGCAUCGACUGCAGCACAUCGUACGUGCUGCUGAGAAGGUUAUUGGCUGCAAACUCCCAUCCCUCCAGGACCUGUUCUCCUCCAGGACCAGGAGGCGUGUGGGUCGGAUCGCAGCUGACUCUUCUCACCCUGGACACAAACUAUUCUCCCCUCUCCCCUCAGGCAGGAGACUACGGUCCAUCCAGACCCACACCUCCCGCCACCUGAACAGUUUUUUCCCCUCGGCCAUCAGACACAUGAACAAGAACAAGAUCUUAUAGGUCACUUACAGCUCAUCUCGUUACCUAUUCUGUCUUAUAUGUCUUCUAUGUUGCACGAUUGCACCAAGAAAAAUUCCUAGUUUGUGAACCUAUUCUCAAACAACGGCAAUAAAAACAAUUCUGAUUCUGA